ensembl:lncRNA
GGACAAUAAGAAUGCACACAGCUCAUGGUUGCUUUUGAAUUUUGAUAAAUGCACACGGCAUUGGUACUCUCUUUUGAAUGGCGACCACAGUCCAAAUGGAUGUGACCUCUGUGGCCCUGAUGUGAUACAGCCUGAAGGACAGCUAGGUGCCCCCUGACCUCUGGUGGGAUGAGCAUCCAUCUAAAAUUACAGCCAAGCCUUUGCUAGUGUCUCAGGAAGAAGCACCUCUUUAUAGCUGGUCAUGAGCCUUUAAUAUAUUACCCUUAAAUCAUUUAAAACUGGACUAGCCUGAGCAGCAGUGAAUAUGCCAGUGCAGCUGGGAGCAAUCUCGGGCAGGCCCAGCGAGAUGGCCGAGAUGAUCUAAUAGAUCUUGCUUCCUCUCCAACAGCCUAUCACCCCGCCUCUCUCCUCCUUAUUAAACCAAAGCUCCCCACUCACAGGAAAUAAAACGGCUACCCGAUAUUUAUAUAUCUUCAGAGUGUAGUGUAAUUCAGAAACCAGGGAGAAUGGUUUAAAACUAUUUAUUGAAAAUGAGACUGUUUCUUGCAUGAAAUAAUCUUAUUGGAAAAGUUACCUUUUCACAUCCACGGCACUCGGAAAAUCUAGAUCAUUUGUAAAGCAAAGGGCACAACAGAAAUUGAUUUUUGUUGGCAUGAGGUUGGUCUUUGUACUUUGAUUAGUGGCUUGAAGCUGGUGAGUCAUGUGAUGUUCUGAUAUUUUGGGGGAGGGUAUUCAGACUGAGAUCAUAAGCCUUUUUGACCUUGACUUUGAGCAGAGUAUUGCGGGAAGUCUUAUGUCACCCCUAAGUCUCUGGCUGUUUGCAACCUUAUGCUAUCUUUUGGAUUAAUCUCUUGCAUUAAGCAGGCCUCUUCCCUCCCUCACUGUGACAUUCCUAGACUCUACAGUUUUGGAUGGUUUUGUAACAUCUACAGGGGAAAGCCCACAUCCGUCAUUCUAGCCUUCUUGCUCCUCUAAGCUCUAACUGGAUCUGACUUCACUUUCAGCCUUCUUGCUCUCUUGCCUCCAUGGUGUGAACCCUCUGCUACCUUCACCCUCUCUCGCUGCUCAGCAUAACUCUGGGCACAUCUCACCUACUUCAGGAUUCAAGCUUCUGUGUGGCCUGUGUGCUCUGAGAUAUCUACUCCUUUUCCAGGUAUGUGUCCAAGGUGGUCUCAGAAGCUCCACCCUACCCCCUGUUGCCUACCAGUGGAGCUUCUCAGCUCUCUACAAGCUCAGUAUCCUCUGAAAUUGACAUUGUACCUGCCAUCAACUCAGCAUAGAUCAAGUACCCGAAAUAUCUCAUGUUGAUGGUGUGUACAUUGACCUCAUGGAAAUUCAGUUUUACCUGCUGGAGAGAGGGAGAAGAGGAGAAGGAUGGGAAGAAAGGUUUUGUGUGUGUUAGUUGCUUAGUUGUGUCUGACUCUUUGCAAACCCAUAGACUUUAGCCUGCCAGGCUCCUCUGUCCAUGGGAUUUCUCAGGCAAGAAUACUGGAGUGGGUUGCCAUUUCCUUUUCCAGGAAAGAGUUUACUUACCCCCAAAUUUAUAUAUUGAGGCCCUAACCACAACACCUUAGAAUUUGACUGUAUUUGGAGAUAGGGCCUUUAAAGAAAUGAUUAAGAUAAAACGAGGCUGUUUAGGUGGGCUUAAUCCAGUCUGACUGGUGUCCUUACAAGAAGAGGUAAUUAGGCAGACAUCUGUAAGCUAAGGAGAGAGGCCUCGGGAGAAACCAAAUCUGCCAACACCUUGAUUGUGAAUUUCCAGCCUCCAGAACUUUGAGAAAAUAAAUUUUAUUAUUUAAUCCACCCAAUCUGUAGCAUUUUGUUCCAGCAGCCUGAGCAGACUAGUACACUCACUGCCCUCUCUAAAUUAGUUCUCCCAAAGCAGAACCAUCUCCUACUCAUCCAGGUUUCCCAGGGAGUUCAAAUGCAGAAGCUGUCUCUGGCUUCUGUGGUCACUUGAGAUAUGGUCAUCCAGGGAAAGAGGGGAGAACCAGAGAGAAGAGGCUUGGAGAAGAGGGUGCAUCCUCCAUUUACAUGGAUGGAGGAGGGGAGCAAAGCCAGAGAGGCUGAAGAAGAACCAGGAGAAAGGUCUCAGAAGCUAAGGAAAGGGUUUCAAGAACAACAGGGAGAUCAUCAACACCAAGUGCUGCAAAAGGUCAAGCUGGACAAGACAUGAGAAAAGGCUUCGGGAUAGGUACUGGAUGAGGUGCUGGUGACGCAGUAAUAAGGAAGGUCAGCGUCUCUGGCCUCACAAACAUACUGGCUAGUGGAGCAGAAGUCAAUGGAAGAGCAAAUAAAGGCAUUUUACACAUUGUGAUAAAUUCUGGGAGUGCAGCAAGUGGAGAUAUUAUGACACAAUAUGGCCGUCCCAGUACAGAGCAUGGUGAACUGAUCAAUGUCUCGUUUCCAGAAAAUAUAAUUCUCUGAAUGCAGCCUAAAACUGCAUUUGUGUUGUUUCUUUUUUUAUUAGCCACCUUACACUUUUUAUCUGUAUUGAGCCAAAAUAAAAUUUUUAUUAUACAAAGUAUUUUCAGUAAAUACUUAUUAUACAAAGUGACUGCAGCAAAUGUGUGAAACAGAAAGAAGAAGGUGACCUGUAUUAUCACCACUGAGAGUUACUGCUUGCUACCUUUUGGAUCUUCUUCCUAUUAAUAACUAUGUUUAUGUAUGUGUCUUAUAAUUUUAUAAACUGGUUUGAUCCACUUACGAAAAUGUUACAUGUUAUUUUCCCCCACGUCAGGAAGUAUCCUAUAUUAUCAUCCAUCGUGGUGACAUGAUAUUGCACUGUGUGGUCAAGCGAAACACCUCAUCACUUUUGGAUGCGAAGCAGUUAAACCAGGUCUUCCUCCUUCUGUACUUGUGUAAUUUUUUUUUUCUAACCUAAAUGUAGGACUUUACAUUUUUAUUAAAAAAUCGUAUUGUUGCUUUUGAGAUAAAUUAUUAGUCUGUUAUGAUCUUUUAAGUCAUGAUUUCAUUAACCAAUCUCUCCCAGGUUGAUACGAUUUUAAAAUCAGUAAGGAUCAAAAUCACUGAUACAUCAUUUUAAGUAGGAUAGAGCCUCAUAGCAUUCCCUUGGAAACCCCCCUACAGUUACUCCAUUGAUCAAACACUGUUUAGUUCUGAUCAAUUAAUAAUUUUAGCUGUACUAUCCUGUGGCUUGUUUCUCCAUUGGAAAAUAAGAACUUUCAAAAACAAGAAAAAAUACUGCCAAUCACUUUACCAUUUGGAUUCGUUAUGUCUGUCAUAUUCCCUUUUAUGCUCAUCUUAUAAUUUUAUUAAUGACAGAAGAUUGGUUUGGUACUCCUUGUUCUUUUUGAACUCAUGCUGUUGUUCUGGAGAAAAAGAAAUUGGUCAAAUACUAAAAUCCAAUUCAAAUUCCUUGUCAUUCUUGAAUGUAUAGAUUGGGCUUAAAGGUCUUAAUCUUGACACAUUCCUCAAUUUGGAGAUUAAA